rnacentral:rRNA from 1 species
AGUGAACGCUGGCGGUAGGCCUAACACAUGCAAGUCGAACGGCAGCACAGUAAGAGCUUGCUCUUACGGGUGGCGAGUGGCGGACGGGUGAGGAAUACAUCGGAAUCUACUUUUUCGUGGGGGAUAACGUAGGGAAACUUACGCUAAUACCGCAUACGACCUACGGGUGAAAGCAGGGGAUCUUCGGACCUUGCGCGAUUGAAUGAGCCGAUGUCGGAUUAGCUAGUUGGCGGGGUAAAGGCCCACCAAGGCGACGAUCCGUAGCUGGUCUGAGAGGAUGAUCAGACACACUGGAACUGAGACACGGUCCAGACUCCUACGGGAGGCAGCAGUGGGGAAUAUUGGACAAUGGGAGCAAGCCUGAUCCAGCCAUACCGCGUGGGUGAAGAAGGCAUUCGGGUUGUAAAGACCUUUUGUUGGGAAAGAAAAGCAGCAGGUUAAUACCCCGCUGUUCUGACGGUACCAAAAGAAUAAGCACCGGCUAACUUCGUG